GCCCCGGCCGCGCGGACGCUCGGCCAGGGACGGCGCCCCGAGAGUGAACACACGCUCCACCCAUGCUGUAUCUGUCCUGGUCUGACUCACUGCUUACCUGUACAGGUUCAGAAAUGUUGUGGAUAACAGCUGUGCUUGAAUAGUUUCAACACACCAGAUGAAGAAACGGGGCUAAGAGAAAGUGAGAAACUACUCUGCAGUCACACACUGUCACCACCUGCAUGACAGAGAGAGAGGAGAUGGAGCACAGAUUGCCCCCAAAUUAUGCCUGGAAGUAAAUGAAGAAACUUUAAUCUUGAAAGCAGUGACAGCUAUGUUCUUUAAUUCCAAAAACGUCUAGCCCUUCUGAGGAAGGUUUGUAAUAUCUCAUUGAGGAGAUUUCUUAAUUUUAAUUUUGGGGAUACCUUUUUGCUUUUCACGUGUUCGUGUGUUGCACUCACGCUCUACCAACCCCGCUGUGCCGAUGACAGGUUCUGAAGAUUUAAGACAAAAGAGAGAAAGAGGUGGACAAAACCGUUCUUUACAGAGACUACAUGAUCUGCAAAACCUGAAGUAUUUACUAUCGUUCUGUUUAUGGAAAGAGCUUACCAACCCCCAGUAUAGAAUAUAGAUUGGGUGAGAUUACAAAAGAUGUGGGUAGGAAGGAGAAAUAUGACUACCCAGUGGAAAUAGAUGUGGGUUUUUUUGUGUUGGUUUUUUUUUACUAAAAACACACUAGAGGCAAGAAGAACAAAGGAAUCAGGAUUUUUAGGGAACUUAAACUACCGUAUUUUCACCUGAACCCUUACAGUCCUUCAAAAUCUGGGCUCUCCCCACCCUGCAAAUUUCUCCCAGAGUUCUAUUUGUGAUCUACUCCUCUGAUCACAUAUUGUUCAUCAGAAACCUCCAGAUGUUCCCCAGCACUCGCUGACCUCUUAGUCAAGACUAAUUAGCCAGGGUGUUCCAUGAUCUGACUUCAUCUUCCCAGCCUUAUUUUCCAGCACUCAUCUUUUGGUGAAUUUCAAGAUUCUGUGCUUUUGCUCAUAUUUUCUUUUCUACUUAGACUGUAUUUCUCUUCUCCAAAUCCUAGACAUACUUUAUUGUUGUUACUGCGAAACAUAUCAAGCAUAGAGAGAAGAAAAUAAUAUAGAAAUUGUCCGUGUCCUCAAUACCAACUUUUGUUAAAUCUUAUCAUUUUGCCAUGUUCUUUCUUUAGUUUUUCUUAAAAAAAGAUUACACUUAGACACUUUUAAACCUUAACUACUAGAUCCCUUCCAAGCAUGCCUACUUGAUACGCUCAGUAAGAAUGAAACUCUUCCUCCUAUGACAUCCGUAACAUUUUCUUUUUACCUCUAAUAGAUCUGACUUACUCUGCCCUUGUAUAAUGUUUUGAAUAUUCUUUACUACAGUCAUUUCCAUAAAGUGCUGCAAAGAUUAUUUUUGAUAGUCUAAGGAAAAGAUAUUUAAAAAUGUACAUUAGAAAUAUGUGCACAGAAGUAUUUAAAGAUAUAUGUCUAGGAUAUCAAAUCUAUGAUUUCUCAGAUGGUCUUUAGGAUCUGUUUAAAGUAGCUAGAGGUAUUAGAAAAUUAUUGAGUAAAUGAAAAUACAAAUGACAGGCCAAAAAAAAGGGAAGGUUUUACUCAAAUCAUUUGACUUGACUCAUUAGAACAGAGACCCAGUUUUGUUUAUUUUUGUAUACUCCUAAAGCAUCCAACUAAGAACAAAUGCUGAUUGACUUGAAUUGAUUUCUCUCUGGGACAACAAGCUUCUUGAAAAUUAUAUGGAACCUCCUAGGCCUUCUGCUGACCGCUUUUAAGACACGGAGUGCCCCACAUUCCAAUAAAACAUAUGCCAGGAACAGAUGGCUCCUAUCCCCGCUCUCCCUUCUCUGCCCAUUAUGAUAAGUUGCCCCAGUUGGGCCCUGAUAAGUAUGAAAUAAUGCGAAUAAUAAUCAUUUUCUGAAGGAAGGACGACUCAAGUUUGCCAGAAUGCUCUCGUUAGUUCUGCUUCAACAGCCCAGUCUCAGCAGAUUUCAGUGUGCAGACUACUUUGGUUCUUGGAUCUGGUCCAGCACACAGACUCACUUUCUCUCACACUACAGUUUGUCGAGGAAUCUUUCUCAGCUUCCUUAAAAUCAUUAUUUCGUGGCAUCUCGAAUAGAUGUGGCACUGACACAUCUAAAGUCAAAUUGGCAACUGCAUUUGGUCUUGGGACUUGGCAGUGAGGAGCCAUGUUGUUGCACAGCGCGCCCCGUGCGCGAGUUAGCCAAAUGAUGUCACGCGGUUACACCACCGCUGUCCUGUCUCCCAGCAUUUCUGAGUAAAUGUGACCCUUUGCGAAGUUUCACUCCUCCUACCCUGCAGUGACCUCACAUGCUCUCAGAUGUCAGAGGCCUUAACUGUGGUGAAAUCUUUUACUCGUCUCCUUCCUUACAGCCUGUGGUCUGAGGUGGUGGAUUAGGAGUGUGGGGGAGUAGGGGGAACCCCUGGUGCCUCUGAGUCACACAAGAAGAUCAAAACAUGUCUGAAGUUUAGUUUAAUCCCCCAAAGCUCCAUUCACACGGGCUGGAUUUCCUUGGGAGAGAACCCUAUAAAUGUCUGUACAUGGUCUUAACUUCCUGGUUUCCUCACUCCUACUUCUAAGGCACGUCUUUCCUGACCUUAAAAAGCCCACGCCAGGGCUGGCUUAUAACCAAGGCAUAUAACCUUUUACUUUGUUAUCCCCAUGAAGACGCUUUUGAAAAUGAACCAGGGAGUGCUGGGAAAAAAGGUAUAAAAUCAGGACCCACCCCGGGGAACACUGACGUUACCCCACCAUGCUGAAAUCGAGCCCCUCACUCUCUGUAGCAGAGCCACGCAGUUUGGGGUCUGGGCUUCAACUGGAAAGCCGUGGGGUUUCUUGGGGAAUUUAGAGCUUUGUUUUCAUUCAGCGUUAACACCUGCGUUCGCGUUCUUUAUACUCAUUGAUCGUCUGUCCACGCAAGGGGCCACUUUUAUUGUCCCUGGUCAAAAAAGAAAACCGAUGCGAACUUCACACACAGUGAAAUGGCCAAGCCGAGCGCAAGUCUCAGCCCAGCAUCUUCUUGAGAAAGAUGAGGGCACUUUGAAAGAGGAAGGGGAAGGUGCUGUAGGGCAGAGUCCAGGACCCGCGUCGUGGCGUCCUACCACGUUCAUUUUGCAAAGGAAGGUGGGGUGUCAGCAAAACACCACCAUGCAUUACAGUCACGGUGGUUAUAUGCAUUUAUUCGUAGAAACCUUUAAGUUAUAAAUUUGUGUUGAUCUCUAUAAAAGUGCAAGGAACUUUUUUAUACCUAAGUUUAUGUUAGUACAUAUUAAAGAAGUAUGGAAAAUAAUUUAAUUGUGAAGGUCUGUAGGCAAUGUUAAUAUUUAAGACUCAGCGCUCUAACUUUGUUAAAGCAAAGUUUUGCUUUUACUUCUGUCUUCUUAAUACAACUAUGCCCUCUGGUGGUUACAGUUACUACUAGAUGUAACAUGCUAUAAUAUUUGUCUUUUCCAAAUUCAUUUGUAGGUCAACUCAAAAAACAGAAUAAUUUCCCUGUAGAACAAUUUGAUAAAUAAUGGGAGAUACCGGGAUAGCCAACAGUAACCCCAGGGGCCCUGUGUCAUUGACCUGCCUUUCUCCCGCCUCCACUGCCCUGCAGCAAACAAAUCCCCAUGGCUCCAGCACUGCCUCGCCUGUGCCCGUCACCAUCAGAAGUAGAAAGAGGAGAGAAGGGGGUUAGUACUUUGGUCAAAUCCAACAUCUUUAUUUAAAAUUUUUUU